rnacentral:piRNA from 1 species
UAACUUCUCCGAGCCUCCCUUUCCUC